rnacentral:tRNA from 2 species
GGGCAGGUGUUCCGAUUGGUAAUGGGGGUUCACUGUAAAUGAAUUGGUUAAUAGCCGUAAAAGGUUCGAUUCCUUUACUGCUCA